GACUCUUUUUCUGUCACUUUCUCCCCAGAUGUUCCAAGCAGGGUUCAGGCUAGGGAAAGGAGGCCGCCUAAAUCUUCCUAACCUGUUUGGCUGCAAACCUGGAAAGAAAGGAAGGAUGAGAAGAGAAGGGGAGGAAAAGGCUGCAGUCCAACUGAUCAAACAGUAGCAAGCCGUGAACAGAAAGUCCAGGAAUCCAGUUGCUGCUCAAUCCCACAAGACUGGCUGUCUCAGCUCGUCUUCUGUAUAUGCUGGAAUCCCAAAGAAGUAAGCUCCGAUGCAAAUGAAGGAAUGGCUGUGCCAGCAAAGGGAGGACAAGAAGGCAAAGAGCAAAAUCUUCCUUCUUUUUUGUCUUCAUAUAGGCUUCCAGCAGAAGGUGUGGCCCAGGUUAAAGACAUGGCAAUUCCUGAAUUCCUGGCAUCAUACCCAGCCUAGUUCGAAGAAGAUGAUGGGCACUGAAGAACCUCCAUAUGGAGUUUGCUUCAAAAAGUGGCAAGCAAGCCAUUGGGAAAGAAAUUGACCUUGUUUCAACUGCAGACAGCAUGUUGUCGAAGCUCUGGACAAACAGGAUGUGUAGGAAAGUCAUCUGUUAAUGCUAGCCAGGACAAGUCCUUCAUAGCUCUGCUUCACAAAAAGGUUUGUCAUAUACUUGGCCAGAAGGCUGAAGAUGAUGCCCCAACAUUGCUGAGGAAAUUUGAGUGACUGUCUAGGCAGCCAUCUGUCUUCUCUCAUUUCUAUAGUUUUAGAAGCUGCUUGCUCUACACUUCCUGUCUACUCAGAGACUCCUAUAUGAAGAUCCAAAGUACAAAAAAAGAAAAGGGAAAGGACAAUACUGUUCCUCCCCCAACAGGAAUGUUCUCAUCUUCUUUUAAGGACCCAAUCCUCUGCUCUUCCAUAUUUAGUAACACCAAGGAAUCAUAGUGAGAUGCAUUAAUAACACUGGCAGGUUUAUAUAGCAGAGCUUGAAGGUAGAAAUUAAAAGGGAUGUAGCAAGCAUUUUAUGUCAGUCCAGGAGAGACUUUUCAAACUUUUAACUUAAAUAUUUAGACAGUAUUUUCUAAUGUACUCCCAACUACAGCAAAUGUUAAUUUCCAUUUUAUGAAACCUGUGACUUGAUCAGCUUCUGGAGAGAGUGGCAGGCUUGCCUUGGAUAUGCUUUGGCUUCUUUGUCUGGCUUACCAACAAGUUCUUGGGUGCGGGUGGAGCUUGGCUUUAUUUUAAUCAUGCUUUUCGUAUACUCUCAACUGUGCAUCAAGUCUUAUAGCCACUAUACAAGCAGUAUCUGUUGUAUAUGGAGUUCAAGGGAAUAUAGAGGAACUGGAAUGUCCCAAGCCUGGAGAUAGAGCAGUGGUGCCCAGCAUUCGGUUAUAUGGAGCCCAGAAAGUAAGGCUCUGAUUCUCCAGCCUUCAGCAUACAGUGUGUAUAGUAAACACGCAUAGUCCACAACUUGUAUUUUUCAUAUGAAAAUAAAACAAUUAUUAUGUGAUGAUUCAUAGAAUUGUGAAAACUCUGAAAUCUCUAAGAUGAGCAAACAAAUCCUGUAUUAAUAUUAAUAUUUGGCACUCGAUUUAUUGGACCUCAGAAGCUGAACUCUUCAUAAUACUGCAAAUUCUCUCUACAUGCAGUUAAAGGCUUUCUUUGUGUGAGGAUUUUGCCUCAUGUGUCUAUGUAUGUACACCACAAGAGUGCAUAGUGUCUGCAGAGGUCAGGAAUGGGUAUCAGAUUGCCUGGAUCAAGAGUGACAGUUGUGAGCUGCAAUGUGAGUCCUAGGAAACAAACAUUGAAUUUUACAGUUUAUUAUAUGACUUUAAAUAAUAACUUUCAAGUGUUCUAUGACAUACAAAUACUUUUUAUAUGUAUAAAUAAUUAGAACCUUUUAUUGAUAUAGUCAUCUUUUUUAUAUUGAUUACCUAGGCCACUCGUUAUAGACGAAGUUGUGUUUAUAUAAUCAUUUGGGUUGCUGUGGGUUUUGUUUGCUCUGAGAUAAUACACCAUUUCGUCUAUAAUUAAAAUUGUAAGAAGCAUUGCUGCAAAAUUGGGCAAGAUCUUCUAUCUUAUUAUUUUUAAAUUCUUGGCUGCCUAAGAAUUUACAAACUAGUUUUUCAGGUUCAUAAUGAAUUGAACUAGGAUUUUGAAAAAAUUCAAAUUUAUGUAUGUGUGAAGAUAAUACAAUAGUUAUCAUUUAUUAUAUAAGACUAUCUUCUCAUAUAUUUGAUAUUACACAUAUUUUAAUAUUUUAUUUUCUGAACUAGGGUCAUAUAUUUAUUUUGUUAUGUUUAAUUCUUGACAUUCUGUAGUUUUUUGGUGUUCUUACAGAAGAUAUCUUUAAAACUACAGCCUUUGGUCUUUUUUAUUUAUUUUGUUAUGUUUAAUUCUUGACAUUCUGUAGUUUUUUGGUGUUCUUAGAGAAGAUAUCUUUAAAACUACAGCCUUUGGUCUUUUUUUCUUGACAAGGGGUUUCAUACAGCAUGGGCUAACCUCAGACACAUUAGGUAGCCAAUCUGUUUUUGAACUCCUGAUCCUCCUGCCUCUACCUUCCAAUUUCUGAGAGUAUAGGCAUAUGCCACUAUGCUCAGCUAAAGCUACUGUGAUAUGAAUAUAAGAUUUCCCUCACAGAUUUGCUUUUAGAGGGUUGGUCUUCAGCUGGUGGCUUUGGGAGUGUGGGGAAUUUCUAGAGUUGGGACAUAGCCAGAGGAAGCAAGUCACAGGACUUAAAGAAUACCUUGCCCCUGGUGUACUCUUCCUCCCCCCCCCCGCUCCUUCACUCUCCUCCUCCUUCCUCUUUCUAUUCAUAUACUGAAGAAACUCAUCUACUACAUGAUCCUUCAACCAAAAUACAUACAAUACAUGCAUGUACACAUGCACAUCACACAUAUGCACACUUACAUAUGUAUGCAUACUAUAUGCAACAUGUACACACACACAUAUGCUACACGUAUGCACACACACCACACACACACUCCGUACACUUAUGCACAUAUACAUGCCCACAUAAGUGCACCUGCCACACACACACAUGCACACGCAUGCACAUAUAAACCUUUAUCUGUAGUCUCAUGCAUAUUUUCUCAUUUUUUCCUUCAUAUAUCUUUAUAUUUCCCUCGUAUUUGUUGCCUGAAUUGAGCAUUUGUUUUUAAAGUUUGAGAAGAUAUAUUUCUCACUCACUCACUGCUUUCUGAUAUGUAGAUUUUGCCUUAUUUUUUUUAUUUUAUGUUACAUGGUUCCUUUCAGAACAUUAGAUGUUUCCAGCUCAAUUUUUUUUUCUCUUGUAAUUUGUUUAUCGUGUAUUGCUGAAACCACAUCCGGCAUAUAAAGUUAAUGUUUAUUUUUUCUUUCUACUACUUUUAUUGGUUAAUUUUCAUAUCCACCUAUAUUUGAAGUCAAAGUCAUCACGUUAAUUAUUGUAUUUUCCUCUACUGUUUUAAACAUUAAAAUCCUUAAAAAUAUAUAGGCAACUGAGUAAAUAUGGGAGUAAGAGAGCUGACCUUCCUUGGGAAAGAACAUUCAGAUGGUUGUCUACUGUGAAACUCUCAGCCCAGAAAACAUACAUACAAGUAACAUUAUGGACUCAACAGGUUAUAUUUGCAAAUAUAUACAAAUACAUACAUGCAUGCAAUACCAAUUGAUGAAAAAGAGGCAUGAAUUUGAAGGAGAGUGAGUAGGGAUUUAUGGGAAAGUUUAGAAGGAGGUGUGGAAGGUAAAAAUGUUAUAAUUAAAAUACAGUCUCAAAACUAGAUAAAAUAAAUAACAUUUUGUAAUUCCAAGCUGUGAGAUUUUGGUCUUAUCUUCUUGACCACUGAACAUGAAACUUAUUGAAAGUAUUUCCUUUAGGAGGAAUAUUCUCCCAGACACCCAGGGUUUUGCCAAGGAGUGAGAUAUUAUGAAUAUACUUCUUUGCAUGGCAUUUCCUGGACAACCCAUGUUUAAAUUGAAUUUCUACAUUUUUUUUGAAUUGUGUCUGUUACAAAUUCUCAAGGAAUCGUCCCUCCUCAUUCACUUCUGGUGGAUGUCUUCACCUCAUUUAUCAUUUUACUCAGGUCACAGCUCUUCAAGGAACAACAGGUUGUCCAGUAUGUGAAGGGUAGCACAUACAGUUACUUCUCAGGAAUGAUCACAAAGGCUUAGCUUGUUCUCCCAGAGAAUGUACAUAUCUUUACGUUGUGUGACAUUGCAGCCUGGUAUUGCCAUCUGUAAAGUUUAUGCAUUCUGGUUAUUCAAAAGAGAACACACACAAGCUUUCACAGUGUUUUUAGUACGUUUACAGUAUUAUAUUGAGUUGUAGUCCUAGCUAUCCUGGACCCUGAGUUCACCAGGCCAAACCUAAUCUGCUGAAUACUCAGAAGGAUAUUUAAACUUACAGUGUGAAGCAUAGUGAGUAAUGACCGUCUCCCAGAAACCAUUGGAUGUAACAUAAUAAAUAAAUUGAUUAAAAAUGAUACAUAGGAAAUGGUAGGAACAGGAGUAGUUAAACUUGAAAUUUUGAGGGUAUUUUACUAAUGUACAUAGAAAACCAGUUGGGUAACUCAAUUUACCCGUUCUCAAGUAACUUAAAGUGAGUAACUUGCAAUCAAUUUGGCCUACUUAAAUGAAUAUUAAAUUUAACCCAUAUAUAACUAUAACAGUCAUUGUUGACUGGAAAGAGAGACAUCAAGAACUACAAUCUCAUCUUUUCAUUUUCUUGCUACACAGUAGUAUUUUACUCCACAUAUUAGGACGUUACUUUUAAAUGGCCAGAAAUCUUCACUGAAGGAAUGCUGUAUAAACAAACCCAAAUUUCUCAUCAAAUGCUAUAUAGUUUGAGUCUGAAAUGUUCCCCAGAGGCCAGUGUUUUGACAUUUGUUCUGCAGAUUGUAGUGCUAUUGGGUGAUAGUGUAUUCUUUAAUUGGUGACACCUAGUGGAGGUCUUAAAGCAGAGUGUGUGCUUUCAGAGAAAAUUGUGGGAAUCUUCUGUCUCUCCAGUAAAGUCCAGCCAUCAGGAGGUGAGCAGCUUCCUCCAUUCAUUCACGGUGCCCUAUUCGUAGUCCCAGAGGGAACAGGGCUAACUGGUCAUGGGUCACAGUCUCCAGAACCAUGCACCAGAAUUCUUCACUCUAAGUUGAUUUAUUUCAAAUAUUCAUCACAGUAGACAAAAACUCACUGACACCAACGCGAAUGGCUCUUCAUGGCCCAUGCAACCACAAAUCAUUUGCAUUUAUCUUUGAGCUCAGUAACCAAUAUAAUAAAGCUAUUUCCUGUCCUCAUUAUUUAUAUUAGAUACUCUUGACAUUUUUGGAAGCAGGGUUUCAGGAAAUAAGAGGCCUGGGUUGUGGAAGAAGCUGUAUUUGUGAGGAAACAACAAAUGUCUGUGCCAUCAUAAAAUCAGCCAGAAGUGUGCAUGAAGUAAAUUGAGUAGCACAGAAUACAGCAAGACAAACCAGGAAUGCAACUUCCACCUCUAUUGAAAAUUAACUAAAUAAAAUACCAUCCUUGAUUAUUUUUCAGAAGUGUCAUUCUGAAGUUUAAGGAGCAUUGUUAAACCAUCUGUGGAACAGAAUUAUGGGUUUGGGCUGAGAGCUGACCUUCCCCUUCACUGUGCUACCCUUGUCUGCUUUUCAUCCCCCUGCCUAGUUUGUGAUAGCUCAGAUCCCUGCUCCCUGAAGGCACUGGGAGGAAACACACUCCCUCUUGGCCAUUUUGAUGGGUGUAAGGUGAAAUCUCAGGGUUGUUUUGAUUUGCAUUUCCCUGAUGGCUAAUGAGGUUGAGCAUUUCUUUAAGUGUUUUUCAGCUUUUCGAUAUUUCUCUAUCUAAAAUUCUUUAUUUAGCUCUAUUCCCCAUUUUUAAAUUGGAUUACUUGGUUUGUUGCUUUUCAGCUUCUUUAGUUCUUUAUAUGUACCGGAUAUUAGCCCUCUGUCAGAUAGAGGGUUGGUGAAGAUUCUUUCCCAAUUUGUAGGCAUUCGUUUUGUUUUGUUUUGAUGACAGUGUCCUUUGCUUUACAGAAGUUUUUCAGUUUCAUGAGGUCCCAUUUAUUGAUUGUUCCUCUUAGAGCCUGUGCUGUUGGUGUUCUGUUCAGGAAGUUGUCUCCUGUACCAAUGAGUUCUAGGGUCUUCCCCCUUUUUCUUCUAACCAAUUUAAUGUGUCUGGUUUUAUGUUGAGGUCUUUGACUUUAGUUUUGUGCAGGGCGAUAAGUAUGGAUCUAUUUGCAUUUUUCUACAUGUAGAUAUCCAGUUAGACCAGCACCAUUUGUUGAAGAUGCUCUCUUUUCUCCAUUGUAUGGUUUUGGCAUCUUUGUCAAAAAAUCAGGUGACCAUAAGUGUGUGGGUUUAUUUCUGGGUCUUCUGUUCAGUUCCAUUGAUCCACCAGUCUGUUUCUAUGCCAGUACCAUGCAGUUUUUAUUACUGUUGCUAUGUAGUACGGCUUGAGAUCAGGGAUGGAGAUACCUCCAGAAGAUCUUUUAUUGUAGAGGAUUGAUUUAGCAAUUCUGGGUUCCU